GGGGGCGGCGUCGCGCCUGCGUACCACCCGUGACGGGGCGGGGCCUUCUGGCCACAAGUUUAUAAGACACGAGCGCCUCAGGUGACCCGCAAACGGCCCUGGACCACGUCGCCACCGUCACACCACACUCAGGCUCUGGAGGUGACUCACUUAACAGAGAAAGGGAACGCGAGAGAAACAGUGUUGUGUUGAGGUCAGGACGCUGCCAUCCCCAUCCCCCCCGCUACUCAUACGCGCACGCGCGCCCACACACGCACACAAGGAACAGUCAAAAUCCCCCGCGAGGUGAAGUCACCAGUCACCAUGGCUGCCGCUGCCACCACCACCACCGCCUGCUAACUGGACUCAGUUACCUCGCAGGCGUGACUGUGGCAGGGUGUUAGUGUUGUCCAGCUUCUGAGGUCAAGAUGGCCGUGAGUGUGAAGACCUUCCUGGCGCUGCUGGGGUUGGUGCCAGUGGCCCUCGCUACCCCUCUGGUGGCAGGCAACGUGGCCACCAACGAGCUCGUGGAGCCACCUCCAGUUCAGGAGGAAGUGGACCUGCCCUCUUGCCGCAGCGGGUCGGCGUGCGGGUACCUGCAGGUGAACGCGUACGGCGUGAGCACCCAACAAUUCUGCCGCUGCCCCAGGAGACUAGGCUCCUGUGGUAUACAGUGGGACCCCCAGGAUGGCCACUCCGUCACCAUGGGCUCAGACCAGUUCAAGUACUGCGGCUCGCCCCCUCCGCUGCACGUGUGUGGAAGGGACGAGAAGGCUUACACAGCCGCCUUCAUCUUCGACAAGUUGACGUUCAGCAUGGCAGGUCAGCAGCACCUCCUCCACUGCUUCUGCCCGCCGCCCCUCGCUCACGUCCGCGACGACGUCGUCGAGGAGGUGGUGGAGGGCGAGUUCCUUCUGGCCACACUCCACUCCUGCUCCAGGCUGCCUGUGUGUACAGAGGAGACGCCAUGCAAGGAGGUGAGCCUGGGUGGGGGCACAGCCCUUGUCAACCCCAAGUGUCGCUGUCCCCGCGAGUCUUCCUGCCCAACCCUCGGCACCACCGUCGCCCCACACUCCAACAACUACUCUCAGGGCUCCGCCUACUCCGUCUUCUGCCAUCGUCAGUUUUAAGUCACCAUACUCCAGUCAGCCUGCUGCCAACUCCACUACUAUCUUCCUCCUGCUCUGGGGCCCCCCUAUGACGACAGGACAUGUUUUUCAUAGUCGACGCUAUCAGACGUCCACCUACUGCGACUCUCUCCCUCUGGAUUAAGCAUUAGUCAGCGAUCGCCUUGAGAGUGAAACGCCCCUCUCUCUCACUCCUAAUUUUACACACACACACACACACAUGACACCCCUCAUCUUAAUUCUUCCUAACUCACUCUUGUGGCUAACGCCGCCAAAUGUCAUCGUAUAGUUAGCUCACAGUCAGAGAAAUAUCUUCUAAUCCCCUCAGUCCUGAGUCACUUGCACAGGAUAGACAGGAUGGUCGCCGGGGGGAGGAAGUUAUGGCCCUGCGGGACCCCGCUCCCUCUCAGCGCUCCACCAGAUAUAUUGUCCAAGUCACACUUGAUACACAAUCUUACAAGAAAAAUGUCAACAAUCAUUGAAAAACAUUGUCGCAAAACUCAUGAGUGUCUCUCUAUGAUCUCUAUGAUCACUACCGUUGCUAGGUCAACACAAGACCCCUCCCACAGUGUUGACAGAUCAACAUUAGGCCUCUCCCGCAGUGUUGCCAGGCAAAGCCCACAGGCAAUGGGAUCCAAGGCGCGGAUUCUCUAGAGUAGCACCCGAAUCUUUUGUGGUGGCAUUCAAGCAAACCAACAAGGAAAGAUCCGAGUCAUUCUCACACGAGGCGAGGCGAGGCGCCCCAAACUUUCUUGUUAAUAAAACACAAGACGGAACAGUGUUACCAUAUACACCUGAAGGUUAAUAUAACAUCUUUCUUUCCCGUGUUAGCAUAUAAAACAGUAGAUUAACUGUACGUUUUGCUUAUAUUGUUGCCAGGUAUACACAUGAUCCCUUCACACUGUUACCAGGGAAAAUGCAGCACUCCUUGAUUCACAGUUAACAGAUAAACAGCUGAUUUUGGAGAUCUUUGUGUAUGGGGCCCCCCUCAAGGUGGACCUUCACCUCCUCUAUGUGGACCUCCACCUCUUCAAGGUGGACUUCAUCCUCCUCCUCCUCAAGGUGGACCUCAUGAUCCUCUCUACCUUAAGGAGCUCUGUACCUCCACACCAGAGCCCUCUACCAAGCUUCUGUUCAUUAAUAUUAUCAUCUUACGUUCAAUCUUCCGUUCCUUCCGCUUCCCCCCCCCCUCACCACCACACCCCUCCCCUACUUCCCCCCCACCCCUCCACUACCCCUACCACACUCCUCCACAACCCCCCCUCCCUACUCUCUCUUCCCCAACCAUUCUACAGUCCUGUUUGUUCUGGAUUUGUGCAUGUUGUUUUUGUUCCAUUCGAGAGGCUGGAUUGUCAUAUUUGUCUUAUUCUUGUACUUUUCUGUGGCGUCUACUGCCCCGGACGCUCAGGAUGGGGGGGGGGGAACCAUGUUCGAACAGCCCUCCAAGACUGUUCGAACAUGGUAUUAAUAAUAACAUGGUAUUAAUAACAUGGUUAGCUGCAACUAACUUUGACACGUUUUGGGAAUUUAGUUUUUUUUAAACUCAUGAUUCUUGAAUUGUUGAUUCUAUAAAGAACAUUUGUGAUGGAGAAAACUAAACAUUCUUGAAGACCAAAAACCAGGACCUUAAACAAAACAUGGAAACUAGAGAAUAUUAGGAAAGUAACCAGUUUAACCCCUUUGAUUGAUUUUCAGAAUUUCACAGCUCAUUAAAAAUUCGCAACCAACAUGAAAUUCUUAAAAAAAAUAUAUAAUUAACAAAUAAAAUUUGUAGAGUCAAGAAUUUGUACAAGUUUAUGAAUUCGGCGAAACAAAUUCAAUCUCACUACCUUAUACAACGUAAGACAAAUGAGAAAAUAUUUUGAAAUUCUGAAAUUUCCAAAAGUGUUAUCAAAGGGAGUUUUAAAAGUUGGCGUCGUGAAGAACUGUGAAGAUGAGAGUCUUGUAGACGCCGGUACGACAGUCCAAGGACUCGGGUGUCGGUCUAAGCUGGUGACCGACAUUUUAAUAAUACUGAAUGAGCAAUACUGAGUAUGGAACAGUUGCUUUUUAUCUGUUUAAAAGAGAAUAAAAACGAUAAAUUAC
rnacentral:misc_RNA from 1 species